AUGGGAGCCCAGCAGAGCGUCAAUGCCGGCAAAGCCAAGGUGGAUUUGCACGUCGACCUCACCCACAUGCUCUGCGAGGCACUCCUGCUGCCGCCCCUCAGCAGCUCCAGCGCCACCAUCUCGCAAAUCGUCGGAAGGAUCUCCCUCAAACACCCAAGCCUAUUUGGGAGGAGCGAGAAGUUGGACGUGAUUCUGGAUAAGGGUGUCAAUGACUCUAACGUCGUUGUUGCCUUUAGACGCCCAAGGCCUGAAUGGUUAUCGCAGCAGUCCUUUGUCAUUCAGCACUCGAUGACACCAGAAAUUGCGGUGCAUGGUUUUCCGGCUGACAACUUCACACGGUCAGGGAGCAGAGGGGUAAAUCUAAGCCGGUUGUCGCUUGGGGUGGAGAUUAAUGAACCGACAACAUCAAAAUGGACUUCUGGAACCAGUGUUAAGUUUGAGCAUAUCCGUCCUGUUAAUAAUGAUGGGCGCUCAAUAGCUAGGGACCACGAAGGUUUUCCCCUAACAUGCAGUGGUAACCUCCAUGACAACAUGAUUAUCUUGAAGCAAGAGUCUGGUUAUGCGGAUGUUAAGGAUAAUAGCUUCUUAAGAGUUAAUUUCCAAAUGGAACAAGGAUUGCCACUUGUACCAAAAUCACUGACUUUUAACAGAGUUAAAUGUGCUGUUUCGAAAGGCAUUAAAUUGGGGCCAACAUUUUUGGUUACUAGCUUGACAGGCGGUUCCAUUGUGGGCGACAUGGCACCGUAUCAAGCAUUUGCAAUAGGUGGACUUGGUAGUGUACGGGGUUAUGGCGAGGGUGCAGUUGGUUCAGGAAGACUGUGCCUAAUUGGUAACUGCGAAUAUACGGUUCCUUUGGCAAAGAAUCUCGAAGGGUCUCUUUUCAUGGACUGCGGUAGUGAUUUAGGAUCUGCUCGCCAUGUUCCUGGCAAUCCAGCUCUUCGGCAAGGGAAACCAGGAUUCGGUGUCGGGUUUGGGUACGGCGUCCACUUCAACACGGACAUAGGCCAAAUCCGGGUCGACUACGCCAUGAACGCCUUCAGCCGCAAGACCUUCUACUUCAGCAUCAACACUGGCGGUGCUGGCUCAUAG
rnacentral:rRNA from 1 species